rnacentral:rRNA from 1 species
UACGAAGGGUGCAAGCGUUAAUCGGAAUUACUGGGCGUAAAGGGUGCGUAGGCGGUUGUUUAAGUCUGUCGCGAAAUCCCCGGGCUCAACCUGGGAAUGGCGAUGGAUACUGGGCAGCUAGAGUGUGUCAGAGGAUGGUGGAAUUCCCGGUGUAGCGGUGAAAUGCGUAGAGAUCGGGAGGAACAUCAGUGGCGAAGGCGGCCAUCUGGGACAACACUGACGCUGAAGCACGAAAGCGUGGGGAGCAAACAGG